UCCUUCAUCACAUUGUGUGCUGGAUCAACGAGUGUAUGAGGAUGGGAUGAUCAUCCUCCUGGUGGGAUACUGAAGUGAAAUACUGCAAGAGCAAAAUUCCCUAGCCAAGAGAGAAGGUCACUGAUCCUCCAUCAGUCAGCGCACAACAGAUUCUCAUUCUUUAGAGUGGAUUUUGAGAUUUGCAAAUAGAAAUUAAAUCCCU
rnacentral:lncRNA from 1 species